AGAACGAACGCUGGCGGCAUGCCUAAUACAUGCAAGUCGAACGAACUCUUCGGAGUUAGUGGCGCACGGGUGCGUAACGCGUGGGAAUCUGCCCCUUGGUUCGGAAUAACAGUUGGAAACGACUGCUAAUACCGGAUGAUGACGAAAGUCCAAAGAUUUAUCGCCAAGGGAUGAGCCCGCGUAGGAUUAGCUAGUUGGUGAGGUAAAGGCUCACCAAGGCAACGAUCCUUAGCUGGUCUGAGAGGAUGAUCAGCCACACGUGGGACUGACGACACCGGCCCAGACCUCCGUACGGGAGCAGCAGGUAGGGAAUAGUGGAACAAGUGGGACGAAACGCCUAGACUCCGAGACCGG
rnacentral:rRNA from 1 species